rnacentral:lncRNA from 1 species
UUAUAAAUAGAACUCUAAGCAGAGUGGGGCCAUCAGGGCUUUGUCCAGGGCACUGAAUUCAAGGUGCUCUGGAUAGAAAGGGCAUGAGCAGGAAUGGGAGUUCAGAAGGUGAGUUACUUUCCUAUUGUCUCCUUCCCUAGGGUCUGCCCAAUGGUAACCUGGUACCAUCUUCUUCCUCUGCCCUGCUCCUCUUCAUCACCCCACCUCUUCAGCAUGGUCUCUGCUCCAGUUUCUACUUAGGUUGUCUUUUGUGACAUUUGAUACCUACUUGAGUUUGUUAUGAAGCCAAGAAUUCCUAGUCAUAGCUGUGGUUCUGAAAUUCUCUAAGGAAACCAAAAAUGUUCAGGGAGGGCCAAAAAUGCUGACCUUCAAAAGGAACUUUCUCCUAAGGCUCAUUGAGUAUUCAAGUCAGCUUCACCUUGGAAAUCUCUCUCUUUAAAGACUCAGUUGAUGCUUUACAUGAAACCACUCAGAUUUGGAUAAGGAAGACAAAAAAAAUCAACCCACCUGCUGCCACAUGUCAAGCAAUCUGAAGUGGGGUUGGCCUUUUUCAUCUUCUCUCAAAGAUGGAAGCCAGAAGUACUCAAAGUGACUUGACUUGAAGCUCGAUGCUUCCCAGAGGAGAAUGGCCUUGAAGGAUCUCAAAAGAAGACUGGUGAAGGGAAAGAAGUUGCUAUGGCAGAAAGCCGUGGAAAGAUUUUCUUCAGUGGUACUUUCAGAGAUGUGGCAACCAGGGCAGAGAUGGAGGUGGGAAGUCAAGUCAAGGCAAUACCAGGGAUAUAAAGAAUGUAAGAAAAUAAAACAGUUUUUGGCCUCAAAAAGCUCACAGUCUAAUGAGGGAAACAAUAUGACAGCAAUUCUGUCUCUUCCUUUCCUUCCUUCCUUCCUUCCUUCCUUCCUUCCUUCCUUCCUUCCUUCCUUCCUUCCUUCCUUCCUUCCUUCCUUCCUUCCUUCCUUCCUUCCUUCCUUCCUUCCUUCCUUCCUUCCUUCCUUCCUUCCUUCCUUCCUUCCUUCCUUCCUUCCUUCCUUCCUUCCUUCCUUCCUUCCUUUUCCAUGUUUAAAUUCACGUAGCUAUAGACAGAAUGCCACAGUGAAAAGCAUAUGGAAUUUACAAUUAGAGAACUUAGAUUCAAACCCUGUCUCUUCAACUCACUAUCUACAUGACCUUGGGCAAGUCACUUAAUCUCUGGGUAUCAAGUUCCUUAUCUAUAAAUAAGGGUUUGGGGCUAGACAGGCUUUCAUUUCUCUUGAAUUCUUAAAUUUCUAGGAUACCCUGAUAAUCCUAGGAUGUCCAGAUGAAAAUGAAGAUCAUUAUUAAAAAGGGAAACUUCAAACUGGGUCUUGAGUAUUGGAC